GACGAACGCUGGCGGCGUGCCUAAUACAUGCAAGUAGAACGCACAGUUUAUACCGUAGCUUGCUACACCAUAAACUGUGAGUUGCGAACGGGUGAGUAACGCGUAGGUAACCUGCCUGGUAGCGGGGGAUAACUAUUGGAAACGAUAGCUAUACCCCCUUAUACUUAUUUUUUCCUGAUAAUUUAUUUAAAGAUUCAAUUUCAUUACCAACAGAUUGACCUGCGUUUUAUUUGCUAGUAGGGGAGGUAACGGCUCAACUAGGCGACGAUACAUAGCCGACCUGAGAAGGAGAUCGGCCACACUGGGACUGAGACACGGCCCAGACUCCUACGGGAGGCAGCAGGAGGGAAUCUUCGGAAAUGGACGAAAGUCUGAACGAGCAACGCCGCGGGAGUGAAGAAGGUUUUCGGAUCGUAAAGCUCUGUUGUAAGAGAAGAAAGGGUGUGAGAGUGGAAAGUUCACACUGUGACGGUAUCUUAACAGAAAGGGACGGCUAACUACGUG
rnacentral:rRNA from 1 species